GAUGAACGCUAGCUACAGGCUUAACACAUGCAAGUCGAGGGGAAACGAUAUUGGAAGCUUGCUUCCGAUAGGCGUCGACCGGCGAACGGGUGAGUAACGCGUAUCCAACCUGCCCACCACUUGGGGAUAACCUUGCGAAAGUAAGACUAAUACCCAAUGACGUCCAUAGGAGACAUCUGAAAUGGAUUAAAGAUUUAUCGGUGAUGGCGGGGGAUGCGUCGGAUUAGCUUGUCGGCGGGGUAACAGCCCACCAAGACGAGGAUAGGUAGGGGGUCUGAGAGGAAGGUCACCCACAUUGGAACUGAGACACGGUCCAAACUCCUACGGGAUGCAGCAGUGAGGAAUAUUGGUCAAUGGACGAGAGUCUGAACCAGCCAAGUCGCGUGAGGGAAGACUGCCCUAUGGGUUGUAAACCUCUUUUAUAAGGGAAGAAUAAGUUCUACGUGUAGAAUGAUGCCUGUACCUUAUGAAUAAGCAUCGGCUAACUCCGUGCCAGCCGCCGCCGUAA
rnacentral:rRNA from 1 species